ACCGGAUAGGACGAAAGUUUAAAGGUGCUUCGGCACCACUGAUGGAUGAGCCUGCGGCGCAUUAGCUAGUUGGUAGGGUAAAGGCCUACCAAGGCGACGAUGCGUAGCCGACCUGAGAGGGUGAACGGCCACACUGGGACUGAGACACGGCCCAGACUCCUACGGGAGGCAGCAGUAGGGAAUCUUCGGCAAUGGGCGAAAGCCUGACCGAGCAACGCCGCGUGAAUGAUGAAGGCCUUCGGGUUGUAAAAUUCUGUUAUAAGGGAAGAAUGGCUCUAGUAGGAAAUGGCUAGAGUGUGACGGUACCUUAUGAGAAAGCCACGGCUAACUACGUGCCAGCAGCCGCGGUAAUACGUAGGUGGCGAGCGUUAUCCGGAAUUAUUGGGCGUAAAGAGCGCGCAGGUGGUUGAUUAAGUCUGAUGUGAAAGCCCACGGCUUAACCGUGGAGGGUCAUUGGAAACUGGUCAACUUGAGUGCAGAAGAGGGAAGUGGAAUUCCAUGUGUAGCGGUGAAAUGCGUAGAGAUAUGGAGGAAC
rnacentral:rRNA from 1 species